AGAGUUUGAUCCUGGCUCAGGACGAACGCUGGCGGCGUGCCUAACACAUGCAAGUCGAGGGAGAAAGUCCUCUUCGGAGGGCGAGUAAACCGGCGCACGGGUGAGUAACACGUAGGCAACCUGCCCUUUGGACCGGGAUAACUUCGGGAAACCGGGGCUAAUACCGGAUAAUGCAGCGGCACCGCAUGGUGAUGUUGUUAAAUCCCUUCGGGGGCCAAAGGAUGGGCCUGCGGCCCAUUAGCUAGUUGGCGGGGUAACGGCCCACCAAGGCAACGAUGGGUAGCUGGUCUGAGAGGAUGGUCAGCCACACUGGAACUGAGACACGGUCCAGACUCCUACGGGAGGCAGCAGUGAGGAAUAUUGCGCAAUGCCCGAAAGGGUGACGCAGCGACGCCGCGUGGAGGAUGAAGUCCGUAAGGAUGUAAACUCCUGUUGAGAGGGAAGAAAAUCUUCGCUUCGGCGGAGACUGACGGUACCUCUCGAGGAAGGCCCGGCUAACUACGUGCCAGCAGCCGCGGUAAUACGUAGGGGCCAAGCGUUGUCCGGAUUUACUGGGUGUAAAGGGUCCGCAGGCGGGUCUGUAAGUCAAUGGUGAAAUUUUCCGGCUUAACUGGAAAACUGCUGUUGAAACUGCAGGCCUUGAGUCCGGGAGAGGGUGGUGGAAUUCAUGGUGUAGCG
rnacentral:rRNA from 1 species